rnacentral:rRNA from 1 species
AUGCCAGACUCCUACGGGAGGCAGCAGUGGGGAAUAUUGCACAAUGGGGGAAACCCUGAUGCAGCAACGCCGCGUGAGUGAAGAAGUAUUUCGGUAUGUAAAGCUCUAUCAGCAGGGAAGAAAAUGACGGUACCUGAGUAAGAAGCCCCGGCUAACUACGUGCCAGCAGCCGCGGUAAUACGUAGGGGGCAAGCGUUAUCCGGAUUUACUGGGUGUAAAGGGAGCGUAGACGGCGAUGCAAGUCUGAAGUGAAAGCCCGGGGCUCAACCCCGGGACUGCUUUGGAAACUGUAUGGCUAGAGUGCUGGAGAGGCAAGCGGAAUUCCUAGUGUAGCGGUGAAAUGCGUAGAUAUUAGGAGGAACACCAGUGGCGAAGGCGGCCUGCUGGACGACAACUGACGGUGAGGCGCGAAAGCGUGGGGAGCAAACAGGAUUAGAUACCCCUGUA